rnacentral:lncRNA from 1 species
UGGCUGAUUUCCAGAUAUGGUAAACGUCGAACACGAUCUUUGGACUGAAAUAAACUGUAAACACCGGCCAUAAACAACGUGUUGGACUUAAAAACAGUUCCCAAGUUCAAUAACUCCGUUGCUAUAUCACUGUUCAGAAAAGAUAAGGUGGCGUGGUUUUGUACAAAGACGAGAUUAUGUAUGACUCAGGAUGAAGUUAUGGAAAAUCAGCUCGCCAUAUAAGCCGUAGUUCUGACCGGCAGGCAAUUGGAGUACAGCAGCUAGUUCCUCUUUUUGUGAACGUGGAAAGUAAAGAGGCAAGAGUACUUCAUAAAUGCCAGCAUCACAGCUCUCGACAGCAAGUAUUAUCGUUUAAAGACAAAAAAUUGAUUGGUACGACAUGAUAAAGAACUUCAUUAAACUCCAAAGAAAAUAAUACAACCAAAAAAAUCUGUAAAAGUGUGCCAACUCUUUGGAUUUAAUUGAGCACGUAUGUAAUAUGUUUCUAACAAUUAUAUAAUAUGUUGAAGUUGAGGAGUGGUCAAAAACAACACAUUAUAACAGCAGGUCACUAAGAAACAUAUAUAACAAAGUAUAAUAAAUUUGAUUAUAUAUGCUAAUAUUGAACUAUUGAAUUGAAUAUAUAACUUGAUUAUAAAAACUUGCAAGCUGAGACUGACAGUGGGAUUAAAAAGCUGACUGUUUUAUUAUUUGAACUCUAUUAUUUUAUAGAUAAAUGUAAAUGAGCUGAAUGAUUUUUAAAUGUUAAUAAUACAAAAGAAAAAUAAAGCUAUUAUUGUAUUAAUUGGUAUUAAUCCCUUGAAAUUUCAAAAAACAAAAUAGUAAAUAUCAAUCAAAUCUAAAUGAAACUUACAACUGCUGUGCAUACUGUCCUUUUAUUCAAAUCGAGAAAACAAAUGUUAGAAAUUAAAAAAAAAACCUAAGAAAAAAUGAAAUAAAAUAUCUAAUAUUUUACAUGAUAUUUUGGUUGGGUGUUCUGUUCUUAUUCAAUUAAAAUUGCUACUACAUAUA